UGAGGGAAUAUUUGGGGUCAAUGGACGAGAGUCUGAACCAGCCAAGUAGCGUGCAGGACGACGGCCCUAUGGGUUGUAAACUGCUUUUGUACGGGGAUAAAGUGAGCCACGUGUGGUUUAUUGCAGGUACCGUACGAAUAAGGACCGGCUAAUUCCGUGCCAGCAGCCGCGGUAAUACGGAAGGUCCGGGCGUUAUCCGGAUUCAUUGGGUUUAAAGGGAGCGUAGGCCGCCCCUUAAGCGUGUUGUGAAAUGCCGCGGCUCAACCGUGGCACUGCAGCGCGAACUGGGGGGCUUGAGUGCGCGCAGCGAAAGGCGGAAUUCGUGGUGUAGCGGUGAAAUGCUUAGAUAUCACGAAGAACUCCGAUCGCGAAG
rnacentral:rRNA from 1 species